AGAGUUUGAUCCUGGCUCAGGACGAACGCUGGCGGCGUGCCUAACACAUGCAAGUCGAACGGAGAAUUUCGCAGAGCUUGCUCGACGAAAUUCUUAGUGGCAGUAACGCGUGGAUAAUCUGCCUGUAAGGCAGGGAUAACGCCGGGAAACCGGUGCUAAUACCCGAUAACCUCUUUGGAUCGCAUGGUAUAAAGAGAAAAGGUGGCCUCUUUACAAUGCUACCACUUACAGAUGAAUCCGCGUCCCAUUAGCCAGUUGGUGGGGUAAUGGCCUACCAAAGCAACGAUGGGUAGCCGGCCUGAGAGGGUGACCGGCCACACUGGAACUGAGAUACGGUCCAGGCUUCCUACGGGAGGCAGCAGUGGGGAAUCUUCCGCAAUGGGCGAAAGCCUGACGGAGCAACGCCGCGUGAGCGAAGAAGGUCUUCGGAUUGUAAAGCUCUGUGAUAUUGGACGAACGAUUUCCCGUAAAUAAUGGGAAAGAAUGACGGUACAAUAAGAGGAAGCCACGGCUAACUACGUGCCAGCAGCCGCGGUAAUACGUAGGUGGCAAACGUUGUCCGGAAUUACUGGGCGUAAAGGGCGAGUAGGUGGUUUGCUAAGUCAAGUGUAAAAACUCACGGCUCAACCAUAGUGUGCAUUUGAAACUGAAGAGCUCGAGUGCAGGAGAGGGAAGUGGAAUUCCUAGUGUAGCGGUGAAAUGCGUAGAUAUUGGGGGGAACACCAGUGGCGAAGAGCGACUUCCUGGCUUGUAACUGACACUGAGGCGCGAAAGCGUGGGGAUCAAACAGGAUUAGAUACCCUGGUAGUCCACGCUGUAAACGAUGAGUGCUAGGUGUUGGGGGUAUCGACCCCUUCUGUGCCAGAGUAAACACAAUAAGCACCCCACCUGGGGAGUACGGUCGCAAGACUGAAACUCAAAGGAAUUGACGGGGGCCCGCACAAGCGGUGGAGUAUGUGGUUUAAUUCGACGCAACGCGAAGAACCUUACCAAGGCUUGACAUCCCAUUAAACUCAUGGAAACAUGAGGUCCCUUCGGGGGAAUGGAGACAGGUGGUGCAUGGUUGUCGUCAGCUCGUGUCGUGAGAUGUUGGGUUAAGUCCCGCAACGAGCGCAACCCCUAUUGCCAGUUACCAGCACGUAAAGGUGGGAACUCUGGUGAGACCGCCGGGGACAACUCGGAGGAAGGUGGGGACGACGUCAAAUCAUCAUGCCCCUUAUGUCUUGGGCUACACACGUGCUACAAUGGCAGUUACAGAGGGCAGCGAAGCGGUAACGUGAAGCGAAUCUCAAAAAAGCUGUCUCAGUUCGGAUCGUGGGCUGCAACCCGCCCACGUGAAGUCGGAGUUGCUAGUAAUCGCGAAUCAUCAUGUCGCGGUGAAUACGUUCCCGGGCCUUGUACACACCGCCCGUCACACCAUGGGAGUUGGGAGCGCCCGAAGUCAGUAUCCUAACCGCAAGGAGGGAGCUGCCGAAGGCGAGAUCAAUGACUGGGGUGAAGUCGUAACAAGGUAACCA
rnacentral:rRNA from 1 species